rnacentral:rRNA from 1 species
ACGGAAGGCAGCAGUGGGGAAUAUUGCACAAUGGGCGCAAGCCUGAUGCAGCGAUGCCGCGUGAGGGAAGAAGGUUUUCGGAUUGUAAACCUCUGUCAAUAGGGACGAAGAAGACGGUACCUAUGAAGGAAGCUCCGGCUAACUACGUGCCAGCAGCCGCGGUAAUACGUAGGGAGCAAGCGUUAUCCGGAAUUACUGGGUGUAAAGGGAGUGUAGGCGGGACUGUAAGUCAGAUGUGAAAUAUACCGGCUCAACUGGUAGACUGCAUUUGAAACUGCGGUUCUUGAGUGAAGUAGAGGUAAGCGGAAUUCCUAGUGUAGCGGUGAAAUGCGUAGAUAUUAGGAAGAACACCGGUGGCGAAGGCGGCUUGCUAGACUGAGACUGACGCUGAGGCUCGAAAGCGUGGGGAGCAAACAGGAUUAGAUACCCUGGUA